rnacentral:lncRNA from 1 species
UUCUUUAUAAAUUACCCAGUCUGGGGCAGUUCUUUAUAGCAGUAUGAAAAUGGACUAAUACACCUUGUCUUCAGAAAGACUUUCCCUAGAUGCUCAGCACACCUGCUAAAUUUCUCCAGUGUGUUGACAUUAGAGCAGCCUUGUCCAAUAGAGCUUUCUAAGAUGAUGGAAUGUUCUAUGUCUGCACCAUUCAAUACGGCAACUACUAGCCACGUGUGGCUAUUGAGCACUUGAAAUGUGGCCAGUGUGACUGAGGAACUGAAUUUUUUUUUUAGCUUUAAUUAAGUGUCAAUAGCCACACAUAGCUAGUGGCCAGCAUACUGGACAGGUCGAAUUUAGAAACUCUUCUUUCUGCCACUGUUGACUAUGACAAAAGAAUGAGUCAUAGAGAGGAAUGGACUUCUCCCAUUCUACUGGGGCAGCCUGGAGAACACUUGGGCUUCGAAGACCACUUCCCUCUGCUCCCCAGGGCCUUCCCCACUGGCUUCAGAGGCGUGACUGAGGGCAAGAAGGAAGAGCCAAGAUUCUGUCUACAUGUGUGAUCGACAAUGUUAAUUCUCAUAUUGUACAUUGUGCCAUCUCUCCCUGAACUUUAUUGAUGUUUUGAAGCAAAACAACCAUUUACUCCUCUCCUAAAGAUUCCAGUUAAUGAGGUGCGCACAGGCCCCUUUGCAGAGCGCCAGCCAUUUCCAGGGAGGCACAGUGGUAGCAUUUCAGUGCCGUUCUGCUCAGGAAAGACGACCAAACAGCCCUCCUGCCCUCACCUUUGCACACCACACAUCUCAGCUUCAACUCGCCAUCACGGUGGUCCCAGGCACGGUCGCUGCAACAUCAGAAGGGCGGCAUUUCAGCAAGCAUUUGUUUUUGGGGUAGGGGUAGUGGUAAUUACCAGCACAUGAUUAUUUUAUUUUGUCUGAAUUAUUUACAAUGGAAGGAAGCAGUUUGGAGGGAAGGGGAUAUUAGGGAAUGAGUUCAAUCCCACUUGCAUUGAUUCUACCCAGAGCAAGAAGAGCAAGCCUAUUGAGAAGAAAAAUCACUUCCUUUUCUUCCUCUUUCCUCUCCACCCCUAAGUCUUAGAAAUAAAUAAAUAAUGCAAAGAAAAGCCCUGGGUGGCUGCAUGGGAGGGGCCAGUGGCUGGGUGUCUGUGGCCUUCACUGAGGACUCACUUCCAUUAUUACAUCGGGUCCUGGGCUGGAGCGUUCAGUGGUUCAAUUCUUGCUCCCCAGCACUCAUCUUGCAUGUUGGUGCAUAAUGAACACCACGUAUGGAUUGAAAUCCCAUUUACAGGAUGUUCAGUUACGGAACCUGUAAUCAGGAGAGGUGGGUUUUAAUCCCAGAGGUGUCGUUCCCUUAUUGUUUUUUAAAUUUAAGAUUUAUAGUUCUCCAACUUCCAAAAGAACUUGCUGAUGUUUUAUAGCAGCAAAGGUGGUGAAUGAGAGAAAACAGAAGAGAAGCCAUCUGAAGAAAGCAGGACAUGUUGAUGCUUCCAGGCACCAGAGUGGCCAUAACAGUUGGGUAAUAGGCUCAUGGUUGUGCUUCCAUUUCUUUUUUGUCAAAUAGGGAAAGCAAACCCACCUCCUGCUGUGUGAGGUAACAGGUAGAGUAAUGUUUGUGAGAAGAGGCAUCCAUAUCAUUUUGGCAUGAUAUUGCAUUUCUAAAUUUAAAAAAAAAAAUGUCAAUAGAGGCAGAACAUCUCAUGACCUAAUCCCACUGCAAAUCCCUGAAGAGAAAUACUCACAGAAUAGUGCCCUGGCACACUGAAGAUGAGAAACUGGGGCUGCAAGUGCCACCUGAGAGAAAUGGGGGUGCUUUUAUUCAUUUUUUUCUUCAAUGAAUAACUUUUGAAUAAAAUGUUAACAUACUUACCAACUCAUAAUAUAUAUGAAUUUUAAGACUUUGCAAUAAAAUGGAUGUCUAUGUAUCUACCCACCUAAAUUAAGAAAUAUGUAAUUACUGGCCAGGUGUGGUGGCUCAUGCUUGUAAUUCCAGUGCUUUGGGAGGCCAAGGA